rnacentral:rRNA from 1 species
AUUGAACGCUAGCGGGAUGCCUUACACAUGCAAGUCGAACGGAGUGGCGAACGGGUGCGGGAGGUAUCGGAACGUGCCCAGUAGCGGGGGAUAACUACGCGAAAGCGUAGCGAAUACCGCAUACUAUUGGCGCGGCCGAUAUCGGAUUAGCUAGUGGGUGGGGUAACGGCACACCAAGGCGACGAUCCGUAGCUGGUUUGAGAGGACGACCAGCCACACUGGGACUGAGACACGGCCCAGACUCCUACGUGAGGCAGCAGUGGGGAAUUUUGGACAAUGGGCGCAAGCCUGAUCCAGCCAUCCCGCGUGUGCGAUGAAGGCCUUCGGGUUGUAAAGCACUUUUGGCAGGAAAGCGGUACCUGCAGAAUAAGCACCGGCUAACUACGUGCCAGCAGCCGCGGUAAUUC